CCUACGGGUGGCUGCAGUGGGGAAUAUUGGGCAAUGGCCGCAAGGCUGACCCAGCAACGCCGCGUGAAGGAAGAAGGCCCUCGGGUUGUAAACUUCUUUUAUCAAGGACGAAACAAAUGCCGGUACUUGAUGAAUACGCCACGGCUAACUACGGGCCUGCAGCCGCGGUAAGACGUCGGGGGCAAUCGUUAUCCGGAUUGACUGGGUGUAAAGGGCGUGUAGGCAGGACUGCAAGGCAGAUGGGAAAACCAUGGGCUCACCCCAUGGCCUGCAUUUGAAACUGUAGUUCUUGAGUGUUGGAGAGGCAGGCGGAAUUACGUGUGUAGCGGUGAAAUGCGUAGAUAUAC
rnacentral:rRNA from 1 species